AGAUAGAGCCCUAAGUAUGACCAC
rnacentral:siRNA from 1 species